GCCUACGGGGGGCAGCAGUAGGGAAUCUUCCACAAUGGGCGAAAGCCUGAUGGAGCAACGCCGCGUGGGUGAAGAAGGUCUUCGGAUCGUAAAACCCUGUUGUUAGAGAAGAAAGUACGUGAGAGUAACUGUUCACGUUUCGAUGGUAUCUAACCAGAAAGCCACGGCUAACUACGUGCCAGCAGCCGCGGUAAUACGUAGGUGGCAAGCGUUAUCCGGAUUUAUUGGGCGUAAAGGGAACGCAGGCGGUCUUUUAAGUCUGAUGUGAAAGCCUUCGGCUUAACCGGAGUAGUGCAUUGGAAACG
rnacentral:rRNA from 1 species